AUUGCGCCGAAGAAACGCAUUUACACUGCGUAGAUCAACUAUUUAAAUAAUCUAGAUAAGAUUACAUUUCGACCUAGCUGUGAUAAACGGUGAAAAGUAGUAGUGGUUAAGGAGUUAUUUCGUUCAUACCCAUGUCUUCAACGAGGCGAAGCAUCACUCCUCCAAUGUGCAAAUCCCCCUUGACCCGAAUCAUCCGUUCGGUGUUCAGUUCGGUGACAAACACGCGGAGGUCCCACGAGCCGUCGCCGAUAACUUGACCGUUGGAGAGCAUUUUGGACGCCCUGCUCAAUUAACGCGCGGUGAGAUCAAAACGCAAUCCGGCCAUGCAGACCUAAGCACUAGUAUUUUCCGGCGGCGUGUCGCCGUAUAUGCUUGGCACUUCUAGCGACAGACAGCAGUUGUUCGCUGAUUCGCGAACAAACACACUCGACCGAUAAACUCUACGUAGAUAGUCAGGCGGCGUGUCUACGUCGCGAUUAAAAAAAAUUACCGAACGUUUCGCGCACAACACGCAACCAGCGUUUGCGAUAGUUUGCAGGCGGGAUGGUGCACGGCGGGUUCUGCCAGCUCCACCGCACUUCACUUGGAGUGAGGGAACGGGAACUCAAUUACAGAACGAGGUAAAUAAAAUGGCAGCCGAGGGGCGCCGCACAGCUUUUCGGGUGCUUGAAAACGAUUUUCAACUGCUGGAGCAGGACCAAGUACAAGUGACUUUCCACCAAGACUGGUUUGUGCAAUGGAGAGUCCACUUAAUACAUAGCAAGUAUGAUAGAGAUCACUUCGCUUGCCGGGUUUAUCUUUCAGACCUCCGGUCGGAUGUUGGCAGCAGAUGAGAAUGUAUUCCUGAAGGGCAGUGUUGUUAAAAAGAAACUGAUCUGGCGGUGAUUCACGCAUUAACAACUCAUGGAGUAGAGCAAAAGCACCCGCCUGCCAGAAAGAGUAACAACCAUCGACGAGUUUAUUCGUUCUACCUUGGAAUCCACCUUCAAAACGCGUUUGUCUAUUCACAAUCCAUCGCUGGAACACACAUCAUAAGAAUAUAAAUUUCUCCCAUUGAUAUAUUUGCAGUUAUUUACCAGCAAAUUUUCGGAAUCACACAAAUGUAGCUUCUGUAAAAGUACUAAUGCGGCCACACCACAAAAUGUAUAUCCACCAUGUGCUUCCAUCCCUGGAUAUCCAGAAAAUCCACCCUCAUAUGUUUGGCAACUUUUCACCCAUUCCGCGGUUCCAGCAAAUAAACCCACACUGGCAAUAUCUGUGAGUGUCGCUACUGUCAAGGCACAAUAUGCACCCCUAAUAUCAAUUUCUCCAUCAAUGUGCAUACUAAAUGCGCCUUCUGGCGAUCGUAAUGACCAUAAAAACGUGCGCAAGGUUUGUCUGUAAUCCCACAUUACUUGAUUGUGUACUUUGGUUUAAGAUUAAUUCAAUAGUUACCUAUUGAUACAUUUAUAGGCCUCCUCUGUUCCAAUAAUGCAUAGGGCAUUGACUGAUGCAAAUGUGGCUGCCAAGUGAGGAAGUUGGCCAGGACCACCUCCAAAACCACCUGUUGGGGACUGGCACCUAAUUAAAUAAUAAAUUAAUUUAUAACAAUAAAUAUAUAAAUAAAAUAAUACAUACUUUCCUAAGAAUUUAA